UACGUAGGGGGCAAGCGUUGUCCGGAAUUAUUGGGCGUAAAGAGCGCGUAGGCGGUCCGAUAAGUCGGCUGUGAAAGUCCAGGGCUCAACCCUGGAAAGCCGGCCGAUACUGUCGGACUAGAGUCCGGAAGAGGCGAGUGGAAUUCCCGGUGUAGCGGUGAAAUGCGCAGAGUAUCGGGAGGAACACCAAUGGCGAAGGCAGCUCGCCUGGGACGGUACUGACGCUGGAGGCGCGAAAGCGUCGGGGAGCAAACAGG
rnacentral:rRNA from 1 species